GACGAACGCUGGCGGCGUGCUUAACACAUGCAAGUCGAACGAAGAGCGACGGAAGCUUGCUUCUAUCAAUCUUAGUGGCGAACGGGUGAGUAACGCGUAAUCAACCUGCCCUUCAGAGGGGGACAACAGUUGGAAACGACUGCUAAUACCGCAUACGAUCUAAUCUCGGCAUCGAGGAUGGAUGAAAGGUGGCCUCUACAUGUAAGCUAUCACUGAAGGAGGGGAUUGCGUCUGAUUAGCUAGUUGGAGGGGUAACGGCCCACCAAGGCGAUGAUCAGUAGCCGGUCUGAGAGGAUGAACGGCCACAUUGGGACUGAGACACGGCCCAGACUCCUACGGAAGGCAGCAGUGGGGAAUCUUCCGCAAUGGACGAAAGUCUGACGGAGCAACGCCGCGUGAGUGAUGACGGCCUUCGGGUUGUAAAGCUCUGUUAAUCGGGACGAAAGGCCUUCUUGUGAAUAGUGAGAAGGAUUGACGGUACCGGAAUAGAAAGCCACGGCUAACUACGUG
rnacentral:rRNA from 1 species